rnacentral:rRNA from 1 species
UACGAAGGGGGCUAGCGUUGUUCGGAAUCACUGGGCGUAAAGCGCACGCAGGCGGAUCGUUAAGUCAGGGGUGAAAUGCCGAGGCUCAACCUCGGAACUGCCUUUGAUACUGGCGAUCUCGAGUCCGGGAGAGGUGAGUGGAACUGCGAGUGUAGAGGUGAAAUUCGUAGAUAUUCGCAAGAACACCAGUGGCGAAGGCGGCUCACUGGCCCGGUACUGACGCUGAGGUGCGAAAGCGUGGGGAGCAAACAGG